rnacentral:rRNA from 1 species
CAGUAGCCGCGGUAACGCGAAGGGUGCAAGCGUUACUCGGAAUUACUGGGCGUAAAGCGUGCGUAGGUGGUGGUUUAAGUCCGUUGUGAAAGCCCUGGGCUCAACCUGGGAAUUGCAGUGGAUACUGGGUCACUAGAGUGUGGUAGAGGAUAGUGGAAUUUCCGGUGUAGCAGUGAAAUGCGUAGAGAUCGGAAGGAACAUCUGUGGCGAAGGCGACUAUCUGGGCCAACACUGACACUGAGGCACGAAAGCGUGGGGAGCAAACAGGAUUAGAUACCCGCGUAGUCCCUGUCUCUUAUAA